rnacentral:rRNA from 1 species
UACGAAGGGGGCAAGCGUUGUUCGGAAUUAUUGGGCGUAAAGGGAGCGUAGGCGGUUCGGCAAGUCUUUAGUGAAAGCUCGGAGCUCAACUCCGAGUCGGCCGUGCGAACUGGGCUCACUGGAGCAUAGUAGAGGCAGGUGGAAUUCCGGGUGUAGCGGUGGAAUGCGUAGAGAUCCGGAAGAACACCGGUGGCGAAGGCGGCCUGCUGGGCUAUGGCUGACACUGAGGCGCGACAGCGUGGGGAGCAAACAGG